rnacentral:rRNA from 1 species
CCUCCUUCUGGAUUCCCGUUCCUGCUAUUGAGUUAGUGGGGACGUCACAGGGGGCUCAUCGUCGUCGUGCCAAAACACGGCGGCGGUGGGUCCCUGGGGCCCAGAUCGUUUACCGUGAAAAAAUUAGAGUGUUCAAAGCAGGCAGAUCCAAUUUUCUGCCACCGAAUACAUUAGCAUGGGAUAAUGGAAUAGGACCCUGUCCUCCUAUUUUCAGUUGGUUUUGGCAGCGCGAGGACUAGGGUAAUGAUUAAUAGGGAUAGUUGGGGGCAUUAAUAUUUAAUUGUCAGAGGUGAAAUUCUUGGAUUUAUGAAAGAUUAACUUCUGCGAAAGCAUCUGCCAAGGAUGUUUUCAUUAAUCAAGAACGAAAGUUAGGGGAUCGAAGACGAUCAGAUACCGUCGUAGUCUUAACCAUAAACGAUGCCGACCAGCGAUUAGGAGACGUUGAAUACAAAACACCACCAUCGGUGCGGUCGUCCUUGGCGUCGGUUUCGGCCGGCGCGGGGGCGGCUUAGCCCGGUGGCACCGGUGAAUGACUCCCCUAGCAGCUUGUGAGAA